GGUCGAUGAUGAGAUGUAAAAGGUCUGAUUGCCCAAGUCCCUUCCCAGCCCUUAAGCUCCCAGCAGCCUCUGUUCUCUACCCAGCAUGCUCUAGUUGUGCAGCGUUGAACUCAGGGGCUGCUGACAGACAUGAUGACCAUCAUAGUUUGUGUUUCUUAGAGUACAGUGAUUCACAGUCGUGAUGGAUAUCUGACACAACCAAUCACGAUGGAGUAUGGUGGCGUGGGAAUGGGAUAGGUAGAUGAUCUCGAGUUUUCAAGCUGAGACC